rnacentral:rRNA from 1 species
AUACGUAGGGGGCGAGCGUUGUCCGGAAUGAUUGGGCGUAAAGGGCGCGUAGGCGGCGCGGUAAGUCUGGAGUGAAAGUCCUGCUUUCAAGGUGGGAAUUGCUUUGGAUACUGCCGCGCUUGAGUGCAAGAGAGGUUAUCGGAAUUCCCGGUGUAGCGGUGAAAUGCGUAGAGAUCGGGAGGAACACCAGUGGCGAAGGCGGGUAACUGGACUGCAACUGACGCUGAGGCGCGAAAGUGUGGGGAGCAAACAGGAUUAGAUACCCUGGUAGUCCACACUGUAAACGAUGAAUGCUAGGUGUAAGAGGUAUCGACCCCUUUUGUGCCGGAGUCAACACAAUAAGCAUUCCGCCUGGGGAGUACGGCCGCAAGGUUGAAACUCAAAUGAAUUGGCGGG